AAACCUGGGUUGAAUGUGACUGUCUGCAAUCAUUUCUCCAAGUUCAAGCCAAAGGCAAAGCCUCAAACCCUGGACUCAUCACGCCAUCAAAGGAGGAAGCUUCCAGCCCCUCCACUGAGAGAAAAGUUGGAGCCAGAGCUACAGGUGAAAGUGUUUCGGCCAUAGUGACAGUCAGCAGCAUAACAUGUCCCUCAGGGCCACUUCAGAGCCCCAGGGACGGGGGCCCGUCUCAUCCAGUGCCUUGACCCAGUGUCCGCCUCCAGCUGCAGGCCAAACAGGGGCCAACACCCGCCCUGUGCGACCUACCAAGCCCUCAGCCAGGCACGGUACCCUGUCAGUCAAAAUGCCUCUCAGAAAAGAUGACUGUCUCUUUCCACUUUAUCAUCCAUUUUCUCCUCCUCUCCACGCACAAAACAUCAAGCAAGGAUGACUCGACAGUCGGUGUCUCUGCCUUAAAAAUCUGCAAACACUCCUCAUGACCCAACUGAAAUAGAAUAUCUGUACAGACAAAAAUAACUCUCAUUUCCUUUUUAUAUCUGUUUGCAAGAGUAUUGUGAUUUACUGUACAAUGAAGAUGUGGAAAAAUCAUGUGAAACUUUCUGUGAUUCAGUGUCCCAAAAAGAGGCUGAGCCGUGUUUUAUACUGCAUCUUCUUUCUCACCAAAUGAAAUGCCAUGAGGAAUCUUAUCAUAAGCCCCUUAAGAGCUUUUUUGGAUGAUUGUCCAUUUUCACACACACACACACACACACACACACACACACACACACACACACACACACACACACACACACACACACACACACACACACACACACACACACACACACACACACACUCAGCUAUCAGAUGGUAAUCCUCAUUUGGGGAAUGAUUGUAACACCUUUUGACAUUUAUAUAUAAUAAAUGGAUUUACCAGAAAAUCAGUGUUUAAAUACGCAAAUCAUCAGAGCCAAAACAUGUUUAUCCUCCCUUCCUGACGCUAAAAUUGCUUUAUGGCAAUAAUGGAACACAAAGCACAUUUGGGAAGUCUGUCACUCUUUGUAAACAUAGUUUUAAAAAGUUAAAGGAAUAGUUUGGGGAAAUUCAGGAGUUACAGGAGAAGAUCGAUGUCUGUACAGUAAAUAUGUAGCCUGUUAGCUUAGGUUAUCAUAAAGACUAGAAACUGGGAAAAAAAGAUAGCUUGACUCCUUUUUUUAAAAGGUAAAAAUAUAAGCCGAGCAGCACUUCUAAAGCUCACUGAUGAACAUAUAUUUUUGGUUUGUUUAAACUGUACAACUAGGCAAGUAUUGUUACCUUCAGACAGAGCCAGGCUAGCUGUUUCCUUAACAGCCUUAAUAUGGAAGCUGUGGGCUUUUAAAUUGAAAUUAGUUAAAAUAAGGUUUGAAUAAUGUCUGAAUGUCAGACAAACUCAGCUCGACAGAUUGUCUCAGUAGGUUUGACAUUCAGGUUCGGUCUGACAGCCUUCCCUCUUGCAGCAUUCUUCAACCCAAAGUCAUUCUCUUCCUCGGUCAUUUUCUUCAUUUACUUUACUUUCAAAUGUUGUGGCCUUUUAUUUGAACAAAAAAGGUAUUUUCAUGUUUCCACUUCGCUGGGUUAUGUCCAAACUUUCGUGCUGCGUUCAGAAAAUCCUGUAAAGAUUUUUACAUAAUGAAGUCUGAUGGGCUAUAUGACAAAUGCCAUGAAACCAUGAUUUUGUUACAAGCAAUUUAUUUUUGUACUUACUGAACGUUUUUAUGCAAUACCACCGAAAUAAGUACUAUUGCAAAUUAAAGGCUUUAUUCUCUCCUCAAAGGAGCCCUCCUCAGUCAGUCCUAUUAGACCCUCUCAUGUGUGAUGAUUCAAAGUGCUUUCAGUGUAUGCCUGCAUUUACCAUUUGAUAUUCUGCCAGUAAUGACAAUGGUAAAUGUUACAAAAACACGGGUGACAAGAGGCAUUUUUUGGAGCGGCUAUAGUACGAUUCAUACUCCUUAAACACUAGAUUUGAGAAUACUGCCUUUCAUUUUGGGUUACUUUUCUUCACUCUGUGACCACUUACAUUAGUCAGAAUCUCAGUUAGCCAUGCAUACGGUUGCCAAAGUGUUUGCUCUGGCUAUACAGCUCAAGAGCAGAGUUGGAUUUUCUGAUGGACUGCUUGAACUAAAAGGUGUGAUAAUCUUCAGUAUGAAUGCUCAGCCCCUUCUAUUAGUGACCUUUUCAUCCCAGCCUUUCACAUCUCGGGUUUUGCACAUUGAUCCUGUACUUUUGUCAAUCUUGUUCUCACGAGGUGUCGAUGUAUAAAAGCAUGUUUCUGGUUUUAUCAAAAUUGAUGUAAAAUUUCCCAUGAAAAGCACAGCCACAAGGGUCCAAUCAUUAGUGUCCUGUAUUUUUCUAAUGUAAAAAAAAAUAUCUCAUCACAGAAUUUAUUAAUAUAUGUAUAUGUGUGAAAAGAUGGAUAUGAUAUAGAAUAAUAUGUGUAUUGCCCAAUCAUAGUUGACGAAUCUUUCAGUGUUGUGUGCAAGAGACAGUGUAUAAUUGUCAUGACUUGUCGGCUGGAUUCACACAGGAUGUCUAAUUUACGGAAACUGUCCCAGAUACUCCGAAAUGAUGAGAUUCACACAGAGCUAAAAGCAGAUCUCACUUUUGUUCCUGUUUAAAUCCAGUGUGAAUGACUACGAUGAGGUUCACUGUGCACAGCUCCACAGGAGGGCCAUUCACUUUUAUGUGCAAUCGUUUGUUGCGAUCAUAUGACAUGUUGGGGAAAAUAUUAACAAGCAAAAAAUACAGAUUCUCUAUGUGCCACAGUACUCUGAGACAAAAAUGUAUUAUGAAAUGAAUAAAAUUUGCAAACUUAAAA